AUCGGGUACUGAAAAUAACCGCUUUGCUUCAAGUUAGGAAUUGAAAAUAGGUCCAUUAAUCUUUUGGGCUACCAGGUGAUAAUUUGGUCAUUUCUGUUUUGGCCAAAAAGAAAAAAAGAAAAAAAUCAGAAAUGAUGCAAGACUGAACUAGUAAAAGUCCCUUGGCCUACCCACCACUUCUGUUUUUUUUCACAUUGUAGCAGCUCAGAGGCAGUCUUUCAAUCUCUGUGAAAUGUCUCUUUAUCUCCAUUUGAUACGUGUGGGCAGCUUUUAAAAACCCAUGGCAAAAACAAAUACCCUGAGCAGGGCUAAACUAGACCUAAUAAAUGGGCUUUUCAUGUUUAAUAAACUUAAGCUCUGCUAAGAACAAUAAAGGAAAUCUUAUAGAACAAGAAAAAAAACUCAACGUAUCAGGACACAUCAACUAACACAUCCCUUUCUAUUCCUACUUUUUGUUUGCAACUUACUGUCUCCAAGGCAAGAAAAGUGGUGGACAAAAUGAGGAGGAGCCAUUUGUGUUCAAAGACCCUCUGGUCUAGUAGGUAAGAGAGGAUCUUCUACUGAUACAGGCUGGGGAUUGAGAAGGACUCGCAAGCCCUUCAAAGGACAAUGAAACACAAGAACGUACUAGUAGUGAUUAUAGAUUUAUUUUCAUCUGAGUACUUUUCUGUAUCUUUCAAAUUUUCUGUAGAAAGCAUAUAUAGAUUUUAUUUAAAAAUAUAAAAAAAAAACCAAUAGCAGGUACAGACUGCAAAAUGAAAAACAAAUGAAUAAAUAGGAAGGGAGAAA
rnacentral:lncRNA from 1 species